CUCUCCUGGAAAUGGGCAAAGAAAUGCCUUGGUGGUGGUAUUGAUUUUACACCAGUCAGGGGCAGAGCAGAUGCAGUCCUUUUUUUAGCCUAGCUUGUUCCCUGGAUUAGUGGCCAAAGCUACCUUAUGCCUGAGACUCAUAA